rnacentral:antisense_RNA from 1 species
GAGCGGAGGCGAGGGGUGAACGCGGAGCACUCCAAUCACUCCCAACUAGAGGUCCACCCAGGACCCAGAGACCUGGAUUUGAGGCUGCUGGGUGGCAGAUGGAGCGAUCAGAAGACCAGAGGAGACGGGAGCUGGAGUGCAAUGGCUGUUCACAAGCAUGAAAGCAAAUAUUAAAAAAUUUGUUUUUAUAUUAAAAAA